rnacentral:tRNA from 1 species
AGCCCCAUAGUGUAGUGGACUAUCAUCUCGGGUUCUGGUCCCGAGGACCUCGGUUCGAAUCCGGGUGGGGCUA